rnacentral:tRNA from 1 species
UCCUCGGUAGUGUAGUGGUUAGUAUCCCCGCCUGUCACGCGGGAGACCCGGGUUCGAUUCCCGGCCGGGGAG